UCCAACCUUCAGGGUAGGGUGAAAUUCCCGACCGGCGGUGAUGACGAACGCACGUCCGAGCCCGCGACUCGCCCAUGAAAGAUAUUUCGUGAGCGACUGACUUGGUGAAAAUCCAAGGCCGACGGUAAAGUCCGGAUGGGAGAAGGUGGCU
rnacentral:ncRNA from 2 species